ensembl:lncRNA
CUGCCUGUUGUCAUUGCACCAACACCUCCCACAGCUUUUAACGUGGCCUUGGCAAAUGCGGGCCACCAGCCCCCACUGCAGUGAGGCUAUCAUAGGUUGAGUGUUUCUGCAUGGAGGGAAACGUCAAAUUUAGCCCCCAGAGAAUUUAGGAGGUGAAACACCAGCCAAGAAAGCUGACGUGGUGAGGACAGAUGUGAACAGCAUGGUUUCUGAGGCCACCGUACCUUUAUCUGACCAAUCUUACUGUCCAGCAAAGAGUGCUUUUGACUGAGGUGAGGGAAAGGACAUUAGUGGGAGGACGGAGAGGAAGGGGCAAUUCUGAUCAUCUCUAAAAGCAGCUACCCCAGAAUGACAGUAUUGCAGUGAACAGUCUCUGGAAGAAGUACUUCUGAUCCACAGUAGAGAGAAACUUUGUCAAAGGAAGCAAACACAGCAGCCUCACCCCCAUGCCUGUCCUGGAAACUGCGCGUUCCAAGAGAUGGGUAAUGGUGGUGGUUUUGGAAAGGGGAAGACGUACACCAAUGAACAGAAGGCUGUCAGACAACAUGUUGCUUCCCUCCCUGUCCUCCCCUCAUUUAAAAUAGAGAAUUCAAAUUCCUUUAAUUUGGUAAAAGUCUAAAAGCUUAUCAGGUCAGAAGCACAAUUUGCCGUGCGAGAGUGGUGUGACUUAGCGAUCCGAGCACACAGGACUCUGCGUACUGUCACUCCAGCUCUGCCACCAACUCUGUAGCCUUGGGCUGUUUGGCUCAGUCCCCCAUCCACACAGAGGGGGAAUAACAAUACGUACCUACCUCACAGGGGUGUUGUGAGAAUCCACGUUGGUAAAGCCUGCUGAAGUGCCACAGGGAGUCGCGAGGCGCGUGGUGGGGGUGAGCAGCGCUGCCUGUUUGCUGGUUACAGUCCGAAUUGCUCAGCAGGAGAACCACGGGCCCUCUCCUGCUUGGAGAUCUGCCUCGAUCCGAAGCAGAGGGUGUCCUCCGAGUGCCCUCUCCUCCAUUGCAUGACAUUUUAAACAGCUGUGAGGUGCAGGGUAGUGACCGACAUGAAGUCCUACUUGACCAGGGAUUUGCUACAACCUUUUCUAUAUCUGUGGGGUUUGUUGGUUUGGUUUUUCCAUAUAUUGUGCUUAGAAAUAAACUUUCCACUUAGGGCUGGCGGUUUGGGGUCUCUUCUGUUGCAUGGCAAUGUAUACAAGUCUUACUGUCUGUCUUACUGUGCAAAUGAUCCCGCAGCCCAAUUUCAAAGAUGGGUAUGGUCUGAGCCUUUUCCUAGUGGCGUAAGACUCAAAAGCCUGUCUAGAUUGUUUAAUAUUUAAACACCACUAUGAAAUUGUCAAUUGUAUGUGUUCUGUGCAAUACAAAGCAUGUCAUUACCUGGCUUGAUGGGCAGAGGGGCAAAAGGAAUGUCAAAACUUGUUCAGAGAGCUUCAUACACGUGCCAGCUUGGAGCCGAAAGGCUGCCACCAGCAAAGCAAACUCGGUGAAGCCUUUGGAAAUUAUUUUCAGAACAGUUUAUUCCAAACAAGGUAAUUCCGAGUUUAUGAACUUCGAGGCUGCCAGCCUGAGAGAACAAGUGCAUAUUUAGUG